UACGGGGGGGGCAAGCGUUGUUCGGAAUUACUGGGUUUAAAGGGUGCGUAGGUGGGUAGGUAAGUCAGUGGUGAAAUCUUCGAGCUUAACUCGGAAACUGCCAUUGAUACUAUUUAUCUUGAAUACUUUGGAGGUAAGCGGAAUAUGUCAUGUAGCGGUGAAAUGCUUAGAUAUGACAUAGAACACCAAUUGCGAAGGCAGCUUACUACACAGUUAUUGACACUGAGGCACGAAAGCGUGGGGAUCAAACAGG
rnacentral:rRNA from 1 species